UACAGAGGGGGCAAGCGUUGUUCGGAAUUACUGGGCGUAAAGGGCGCGUAGGUGGUUUGUCGCGUUGUUCGUGAAAACUCACAACUCAAUUGUGGGCGUGCGGGCGAUACGGGCAGACUGGAGUACUGCAGGGGAGACUGGAAUUCCUGGUGUAGCGGUGGAAUGCGCAGAUAUCAGGAGGAACACCGGUGGCGAAGGCGGGUCUCUGGGCAGUAACUGACGCUGGAGGAGCGAAAGCGUGGGGAGCGAACAGG
rnacentral:rRNA from 1 species